CUAACUCUAUUCGUGCCCCUGCAGAGCGCUUUAGAGGCUGGCUCCCCUGUUACCUCCAUGCCCUCACAGCUAUGUGUGAAGCUGUAGUGUUAAGUUGGCUGUCCAGUGAUGCUGUGGAACUUGAGGGCCCAGUGUUUCUUUAAGGCCUCCGGUCACUCAAAGGCGUUAAGCUCUGGACCAGCGAGGCAGGUCAUUUGGAGAAGCUCCAGUGUCUCGCUCCUGCUCCAGGCCCCGUGUGUAAUAAAUCCAUCUUCCAUCGUUUCUCCUUUACCCCGGUGAGCAGGAGAUUAAAAGGUUUGUUUCAUGUUUUGUUUUCCAUAAUCAUUAUCAUGAAUGUUUCAGUCUCACGCCCAGACAAAGCUCGGGGAACAGAGACGCCAUCGCUGAGUUCUAACCCUCUCAUAGUGUUAAAACAAACAAACAAACAACGACAACUAAAACAAGCUGUCCGACUCACAGGGAG
rnacentral:lncRNA from 1 species